rnacentral:lncRNA from 1 species
CCGAGACUCCAAAGCUGUCGGUGCCCUCUUUAAAUAUUUUGGUCCAUGAAAAAAAAUCGUGUUAUACUAUGUUAAGAAUUGAAGAUACGAGUUAACUACACAUGUCACUUAAGUUAACUUAUUUCUUCGAUACAUAGGGCCGUGACUUCUGAAUCUGGCUUCAUUUUGUAAAUCACAUUGCUCAGAGUAGCUAGAAGUUAGUCAUCCAUAUCCAUUCUAGCUACGGUAUACUAAAACCGAGGGUUAAGGUAGUAUGCUACAGAUAGAGUUUGUUAUUAUCUUAGUAAAAUUGUAUAAGUACAGAAGCAUACUAAUUUUUAAUGUUCUUGCUUACCUGCUAGAUGCAAGUCUUUACCCAUCUGGUAGUCUCACCGUCGCUCAAUGAUGUCGAUGUACUUAUGAGCACACGUUGGAUCUGCCUCCAUGAUCUGAAUUUUUGCCCUCUCCAUCAUGUGAUACAAGAAGUCCAUCUGGAGAUAUCUCUUACUAUCUACGGCCCAAAGCACUUCAUACAAUGGUCUGAUAGCCUUCACCAUCGUAGUGGUCUGCUGCCAGAAUGUCUGCCGCGUCACCAAAUCCUCGACACUACUCCCUUCAGUGUCGACCUUUGCAUGUAUACUUUUUUGUCACUCGAGACUGACAAACAUCCGACGUAGAGUUGCUUUCUUCUCAAAAAGGCUAUCAAGUGCAAUAUAGUUGGUAGCAUAUCGUGUGACUCCUAGUCUCAAGAUCUCUAUCUGCAUACCUCCUCAUCAGUGAAAGGACCUACGUAUAGUUAUUAAUAUGUCUAGUGAUGGUUUGGGCUGUCUCCAUUGUCUACUGUACUUUACGAAUCUUCAUAAUGUCCAUCAACAUGAGGUCGAUACAAUAUAUAGUACAUGAGGUCCAGAAAAUAUAUGGCUAUCGCUCCAUUAAGAUCUCUUCGCCAACUUUAUAUUGU